rnacentral:rRNA from 1 species
GGUUAAGUGACUAAGCGUACACGGUGGAUGCCUAGGCAGUCAGAGGCGAUGAAGGGCGUGCUAAUCUGCGAUAAGCGUCGGUAAGGUGAUAUGAACCGUAAUAACCGACGAUACCCGAAUGGGGAAACCCGGUGCACUUUGGUGCAUCAUUGCAACAUGAAUACAUAGUGUUGCAAGGCGAACCUGGGGAACUGAAACAUCUAAGUACCCAGAGGAAAAGAAAUCAACCGAGAUUCCCCCAGUAGCGGCGAGCGAACGGGGAACAGCCCAGAACCUGAAUCAGUUUGUGCAUUAGUGGAAGCGUCUGGAAAGUCGCAGGGUACAGGGUGAUACUCCCGUACACAAAAAUGCACUUAUUGUGAGUUCGAUGAGUAGGGCGGGACACGUGACAUCCUGUCUGAAUAUGGGGGGACCAUCCUCCAAGGCUAAAUACUCCUGACUGACCGAUAGUGAACCAGUACCGUGAGGGAAAGGCGAAAAGAACCCCGGCGAGGGGAGUGAAACAGAACCUGAAACCGUGUACGUACAAGCAGUGGGAGCACCUUCGUGGUGUGACUGCGUACCUUUUGUAUAAUGGGUCAGCGACUUAUAUUCUGUAGCAAGGUUAACCGUAUAGGGGAGCCGUAGGGAAACCGAGUCUUAACUGGGCGUUAAGUUGCAGGGUAUAGACCCGAAACCCGGUGAUCUAGCCAUGGGCAGGUUGAAGGUUGGGUAACACUAACUGGAGGACCGAACCGACUAAUGUUGAAAAAUUAGCGGAUGACUUGUGGCUGGGGGUGAAAGGCCAAUCAAACCGGGAGAUAGCUGGUUCUCCCCGAAAGCUAUUUAGGUAGCGCCUCGUGAACUCAUCUUCGGGGGUAGAGCACUGUUUCGGCUAGGGGGCCAUCCCGGCUUACCAACCCGAUGCAAACUGCGAAUACCGAAGAAUGUUAUCACGGGAGACACACGGCGGGUGCUAACGUCCGUCGUGAAGAGGGAAACAACCCAGACCGCCAGCUAAGGUCCCAAAGUCAUGGUUAAGUGGGAAACGAUGUGGGAAGGCACAGACAGCCAGGAUGUUGGCUUAGAAGCAGCCAUCAUUUAAAGAAAGCGUAAUAGCUCACUGGUCGAGUCGGCCUGCGCGGAAGAUGUAACGGGGCUAAACCAUGCACCGAAGCUGCGGCAGCGACGCUUAUGCGUUGUUGGGUAGGGGAGCGUUCUGUAAGCCGUCGAAGGUGGCCUGUGAGGGCUGCUGGAGGUAUCAGAAGUGCGAAUGCUGACAUAAGUAACGAUAAAGCGGGUGAAAAGCCCGCUCGCCGGAAGACCAAGGGUUCCUGUCCAACGUUAAUCGGGGCAGGGUGAGUCGACCCCUAAGGCGAGGCCGAAAGGCGUAGUCGAUGGGAAACAGGUUAAUAUUCCUGUACUCGGUGUUACUGCGAAGGGGGGACGGAGAAGGCUAUGUUAGCCGGGCGACGGUUGUCCCGGUUUAAGCAUGUAGGCGGAGAGUUUAGGUAAAUCCGGACUCUUUUUAACGCUGAGGUGUGAUGACGAGGCACUACGGUGCUGAAGUAACAAAUGCCCUGCUUCCAGGAAAAGCCUCUAAGCAUCAGGUAACACGGAAUCGUACCCCAAACCGACACAGGUGGUCAGGUAGAGAAUACCAAGGCGCUUGAGAGAACUCGGGUGAAGGAACUAGGCAAAAUGGUGCCGUAACUUCGGGAGAAGGCACGCUGGCGCGUAGGUGAAGGGACUUGCUCCCGGAGCUGAAGCCAGUCGAAGAUACCAGCUGGCUGCAACUGUUUAUUAAAAACACAGCACUGUGCAAACACGAAAGUGGACGUAUACGGUGUGACGCCUGCCCGGUGCCGGAAGGUUAAUUGAUGGGGUUAUCCGCAAGGAGAAGCUCUUGAUCGAAGCCCCGGUAAACGGCGGCCGUAACUAUAACGGUCCUAAGGUAGCGAAAUUCCUUGUCGGGUAAGUUCCGACCUGCACGAAUGGCGUAAUGAUGGCCAGGCUGUCUCCACCCGAGACUCAGUGAAAUUGAACUCGCUGUGAAGAUGCAGUGUACCCGCGGCAAGACGGAAAGACCCCGUGAACCUUUACUAUAGCUUGACACUGAAUAUUGAACCUUGAUGUGUAGGAUAGGUGGGAGGCUUUGAAGCGUGGACGCCAGUCUGCGUGGAGCCAACCUUGAAAUACCACCCUUUAACGUUUGAUGUUCUAACCUGGCGCCGUGAUCCGGCGUGGGGACAGUGUCUGGUGGGUAGUUUGACUGGGGCGGUCUCCUCCUAAAGAGUAACGGAGGAGCACGAAGGUUAGCUAAUCACGGUCGGACAUCGUGAGGUUAGUGCAAUGGCAUAAGCUAGCUUGACUGCGAGAGUGACGGCUCGAGCAGGUGCGAAAGCAGGUCAUAGUGAUCCGGUGGUUCUGAAUGGAAGGGCCAUCGCUCAACGGAUAAAAGGUACUCCGGGGAUAACAGGCUGAUACCGCCCAAGAGUUCAUAUCGACGGCGGUGUUUGGCACCUCGAUGUCGGCUCAUCACAUCCUGGGGCUGAAGUAGGUCCCAAGGGUACGGCUGUUCGCCGUUUAAAGUGGUACGCGAGCUGGGUUUAGAACGUCGUGAGACAGUUCGGUCCCUAUCUGCCGUGGGCGCUGGAAGAUUGAGAGGGGUUGCUCCUAGUACGAGAGGACCGGAGUGAACGCACCACUGGUGUUCGGGUUGUCAUGCCAAUGGCAUUGCCCGGUAGCUAAGUGCGGAAAAGAUAAGCGCUGAAAGCAUCUAAGCGCGAAACUUGCCUCGAGAUGAAUCUUCCCUGGGCCUUUAAGGCCCCUGAAGGGACGUUGAAGACUACGACGUUGAUAGGCCGGGUGUGUAAGCGCAGCGAUGCGUUGAGCUAACCGGUACUAAUGACCCGUGAGGCUUAACCUU